rnacentral:ribozyme from 1 species
GCAAGUGAAAGAAACAAUAAAAAGGAAAAAAGAAAAGAAGAAAAGAGCAAACAAACUAAGAGCAACUCGAGAGACAUGAUUUGUUUGUUUGCUCUCUCUCUUUCUACUUGUGGAUUUUUUUUUU